rnacentral:rRNA from 1 species
UACGUAGGGCGCAAGCGUUGUCCGGAAUUAUUGGGCGUAAAGAGCUCGUAGGCGGCUUGUCACGUCGGGUGUGAAAGCCCCGGGGCUUAACCCCGGGUCUGCAUUCGAUACGGGCAGGCUAGAGUGUGGUAGGGGAGAUCGGAAUUCCUGGUGUAGCGGUGAAAUGCGCAGAUAUCAGGAGGAACACCGGUGGCGAAGGCGGAUCUCUGGGCCAUUACUGACGCUGAGGAGCGAAAGCGUGGGGGAGCGAACAGG